UGAUGCUGUUUUUGGUAAUAGUUCGCAGCAAGGUUACGACAAAUCGUCGGGUUGUUUUCGGUUGACAUUUGGGAGUUUUCGAAGGUUAAUUUGGAGUACUAACCUGAACCGAAACAAAGGCUUAAGAUAUAGCCUUGUACAAGGACACAUGUGGGCUGAUUUGAGUUGAGUAUUGGAGACCUUUGCUUGAAGUGAAGAGUAGACUUAACUUCCCUUUUAAAUCCAAAAAGCUUGAAUACUUGGAUCGCUUAUCAGUGUGAACUCGACAACAGUCGUUGACUAUUGGUGGGUUUGGCCACCCCGAAAUGGAGCCUUCCACCGCGGGAAAGGUUAGGGUUCCUGGCGAGGGGUCAACGGCUAGCUAGAGCUUUCUCGAUGAUAAUAGAUGACCUCUACCAAUUUAUUGUGAUGUAGCUCAGUGUUGUAUACUGAGAGUAUGUAGAAUGUAUUUUGUUUUCUUUACAUUGUAAUAAGGUUCUGGGUUGUAUGAGUUUUAAACUUUUAGUUGUGCUCUGAUUACUUAAUUAA